rnacentral:lncRNA from 1 species
GGCCUCCAAGUCUGCUAAUCUCUGACUAGCUGCCUAAUGUUCUCUGCCAGAGAGUUGACACCUUGAAGUCUUUUAGGAGAUGGAUGGGCAGUCAUCUGACUGCUCCUGAUUGACAGCUUUAGGGCGUCUGUUCUUGCUGAUUUUCAGGUACUGGAAGGUGGAGUUCAAUUGCUACUGGAUUAUCAGAGUGUCAGUGGGCUGCAAACAAGGCAGUAGUUGAGUACAGGAGGCUCAGAGAUUAAUAGAUGAAUAGAUCACUACUAGAUUUUAACAGACUAAACCCAUUUUUACGACAAAGAUCCAGGUUUAGAGCUGUUCACGGAUUGGAUGGUGCUAUUGGGGGUGGCCGUAGUCUGAGUCGUUAGACUGAGUUGCAGAUAAGAGCAGAAUUAUUAUAAAGAUCUGAGUUGCUGACAAGAGCAGAGUUAUCGGAAAUAUAUGAACAGCAGCAUGACCAUGUCAGGAAAAACACGAGGCUCUUUUGACUUGGUUACAGCUUGGGUGGCCAUGACCCCUCCACCUGGCACAUCAGCAGCCCUUCUGGAGACAGAAAUCAUGGAGUUUGGUAUUCUCUCCUUAAUCCAACAUGGG